UACAGAGGGUGCGAGCGUUGUCCGGAAUCACUGGGCGUAAAGGGCGCGUAGGCGGCCUGAUAAGUAGGGGGUGAAAUCUUGCGGCUCAACCGCAAGGCUGCCUUCUAAACUGUCAGGCUGGAGCACGGUAGAGGCAGAUGGAAUUCCCGGUGUAGCGGUGGAAUGCGUAGAGAUCGGGAAGAACACCAGUGGCGAAGGCGGUCUGCUGGGCCGUUGCUGACGCUGAGGCGCGACAGCGUGGGAGCAAACAGG
rnacentral:rRNA from 1 species